CCAGUGCAAAAGGGGAAAGCCACGGUCCAACUGCUGUGAAUGAGUGCAGACCGACGAAAACAGCGUUGCGAGUGAACUGGAGAAAAAAGACAUACCAGAAGAGUUAUGCUGAUUGCACGGUUACUUGUAUCACUGGUUAUUUACGGUGGAAGUCUGUGCAUUAUGAAUUACACAGGCCAAUUCCCCUUGUUAGCUCAUUAAGCUUGCUCUCCAGACUUACUGCUAUUUCUGCUAAAGGUCUACGCAAAAGAUGCCUCUAAUCUUCAACAAGCAACGCAGCCGAGUUCAAUGGGGAAAUUGCCAGUAUUGGCCAUCCACUACUCCUUGGAGCUCAUAAGAGGGCCACACUUGUGAUUUACGGAGUCCCUGCGUCCAUCAGAGGGAGGCAGUCGAGCGAGACGGACGCCAUCCACGCAGGCCGGUCACCUCAGGAAUGUAGUGGGUCCAUUCGAGUCUCCCAGGUUUCCUCCACACAAGGAGAGAGGAUGGGAAUGCUGCAGAACCCCGGAUAGCCUCUCCUCGACCCCCGCCUCCCCACCCCACACCCCCUUGGGUGAGAUCAUGGGGGGUAUGAACCAUGUCAUUUCCUGGGUGAGAACUACUGACAUGCAGGAUGGUGCUCCCUGAAAUCGUAGCCCCCACAGGCAGAGACAGAGAGAGACAGAAAGUACAGGAGGAACAGAGUGGCUUCAGAGUGGACUGAACAAAAGGUAAUACCAACAAAGGUUCGUGAUUCAGACUGCAUAACAUUAUGGCGCUCAAGAUUUGGGGGCUGAGCCAUAAUUUCAAAUCAUUUUGAAUUAACUGAGUAGGUUUGCAACUUCUAGCAUUUUUAGGAUGAAACAUAUAGAUUUGAAAAAUGCAGGAUUGAUUCCCCUAAGUUUAAUAACUGGUGGCAGUAGUGUACUGUACUUCCAAACCAGUCUUGUUAAUGUGUCCAUAGCUGGUUUUGUAAAGACGAUUUGUUCUUUUGUGCAGUGUUCCUUGACAGUAUGUGCCAUGUUACAUUGAAAAAUAAA